CAGCAGCUCUGCUUUGGUUUGUUUUUCUCCGUGGCGGGAACAUGUGCCCCUGAGUGGGCACUGUUUGUGGAAUCAGUAGGAAAGCAAAUGCAAAGGCAGGGAGAUAAAGGUGAGUCAGGAAGGAGAAAGCGGCACUUGGGGGCAGAACAAAACACCAAAAAAGCCAGGUGAUGGAAACAAGGCAAACCAUCAUUAGCCCAAGUUAACAGAAGCAAGUUGACUCAUGCAGCCGUGGGAAAAGCUAAGGUUGUUUGCAUGGACAUGGUGAGUCAUCUAAUGUGUAAGUCAAGCUACCAGCUAUAAUUAAUCUUGUACAUGGAAACAAAUUCGGGUAUUUUGAACAUGAGCUAAUGAGAUUGACCUGGAGAAUCAUGCAGCUCUAAUAGCUGAGUAGGCAAAUCAAGGAUAAAGGCAAAAGCUGGGGGUGCCCUUGGGGAGUCCCUUUCUUUGUGGCCUGUGCAUUUGCCUGUGUGGUGCUCUCUGUGGGAUGCAGGCUGAGCUGGAUGAGAUUUGCCCCACCCACACUGCCCUCAAGUUCCUCCUUAUUUAUAGUACUAUUCCAGGAGGAUGUCUUCUGGAGUACAAGUACUGGUCUAGAUCAUAAGAAGUUGUGAUAGUGACCCUUGGGCUGGCCCAUUUAGACUGACACAAAAGGACUCACAGACAUCUUGCUGGGCUGCAUGAAUGGAGCAUAAGAACACCCUGCAGACCUGUUAUUUGCUGCAUGUUCCUACGGGUGCCAGCAAAGCACAACUUCGAGUAAUGGGAACCGUAACCCGAGUGAGAGAACGGAAAAGGCAAAUCUGAAUUUAUGUCCACCUGUCCUCUCCAGUGAACAGUGAAAGCACACUGGAAAACUGGAACAACUGAAGCAGCCACCUCAGGCCCAGAAAUAAAAGCCACAUGCUAAAAGUUGCACAUCUAUCCAGCCAGCAGCCAAACACACCAGCUCUAAACCUCUAAAUCUCUGCCCCAUGGCCCGGAAUAAAAGCAAAUUUCUCUUCUACUUAAGCCACUCUGUUUUGGAGUUCCUUUCUUAUAGUCACUUACCUGAUACUGCAUUCAGAGAUGUGGCUUUGAACUUGAGUAAGAGAGCAAUGUCCUGUGUUUGUGAAAGGCCAAAAGUUUAUCCACAUUACCUUCACCUUGUUCCUGUCUCCCUCCCUCACAUGCUGGGCUCUGGCUGGACUGGCCACUUUCCUGUUCUUGAACUCCUUCACUUCUUUCCCGCUUCGGAGUCCUUUGCCAGGAAUGCUCUGUCUUGUCACUCUUCCCUUUGUUGACUCAUUACCCUCAGGUCUUAAUUUACAAGUCAUAUUCUCAGAGAGACCUUCUUGGACCGCCCUAUAUAUAUUCAUUUUCUAUGGUACAUAGCCAGUGACUGUAAACUCAGCGGCCAAAACACCACAAAUUUAUGACCUCAUGAAUUCUGCAGGUCGGAAGUCUGCCACAUGUUAUCUAGGUCUUCUCAGGGUCUCACAAGGCUGCAGUCAAGGUGUCAGCUGGUUGCAUCCUCAUCUGGAGGCUCAACGGGGCAAGGGUCCACUUCCAAGUUUCCUUGGGUGUCGGUGGAAUCCGUUUCCUUCUGACUGUGUGACGAAGGUCCCCAUUUCCUUGCUGGCUUUUAGCUCGUAGAGGCUACUCUUGAGAUUUUGCCACACAGCUCCCUUCAAAGGCAGCUCACAACAAUAUGGCACCAAUCCAAUAAGACAGACUAUCAUAUAAUGUAACCUAAUCAAGUGUGACUAUCACAUCAUAUUUGUAGGCCCUGCUCACAUUCAAGGGGAAGGGAUUCUCAGGGCAGGAAGCGGGUGAAGGGAGCCAGCUCUUGGCAGCCAUCUUAGAAUUCAGCCCAGCACCCAGCGGAAACAGGCCUGCCCUCCCUGUUGGUCCUUGUUCUUACUUCCUGUUUAAUCUCCUCGCCACACUCAUCAGUUUCAAUUAUACCUUUUUUUGUUUACUUGUUGUAUGUCUGUCUUUCCCACUAGAUUGUAAGCCUCAUGUAUUUAUAUUCAGGUGCCAGUAUUAAGACUGGUACAAAGUAAACACUUAAUAAAUAACUGUUGAAUGAACAAAUGAAUCAAUGAGCCUUGUAACAUGGCAAGGAAGACAUUAGCUCCAUUACAGAAAUGGGGAAAUGACUUUUGGAGAGUUAAUCAGCCUGCCCAGUUAGAGAAAGAGCCUAGACUGAGCUAGAAUCCAGGCUGAGUCUUCAAGCUUGUGGUGCCCAGUAAUCUGCGAAAAGCUUCAUUCCCCGUAGGCAGUAGAGUCCCUGAAGUGCUUCCUAGAUUGUUAAUAAUAACAGGGCAAGACUGUGUGUGUGGCAUGUCUGAAAUCCAGGCACACCAAGAUUCCAGGCACUACCCUUGGUCACAUGCCCCACGGUCACACACCCCAACCCAUGCAGACUCCUAUGUCCAACUGCCCAUUUGACAUCUCUACCUGGAUGCCUAAAAGGUUCCUGCAACUUAACAUGUCCAACAUGAGGCUUCUGAUUCCCUGCACCUUCCCUCCCUCACAGCUGCCUCCCCACCUGCCUUCUCCACUGAGCAAAAUGCCUUCAUCCUCCCAACUGCUCACAUCAAUAUCCCGUCUUUACCUCUGUGCUCCCUCCCCAAUGUGAUCCUUGCAGUCAUCCCUCACAUCCAAGUCAGCAUUCAACAGUGACCACUUCUCACCUCCCCCAGCACCCAUCUUGCUCUCUUGCCCCUUCAAUUUAUUCUCUUCACAGUAUCUAGAUAGGAGCUUUUAAAGCAUUAAUUUGUCCUCUAUUCAAAACCCUCCAGAAUCCCCCUUCUCAUUUGGAGGAAAAUCUAGUUUUGUAAAGCCUAUAUGCACUUGGGAAGUCUAGUCCCCACCUGUCCACACUGAGCCUGCCCUGGCUCUCUCUAUGGCAACCUUGCUGGUCUCC